CAGCAGCCGCGGGAAUACGUAGGGUGCAAGCGUUAAUCGGAAUUACUGGGCGUAAAGCGUGCGCAGGCGGUGUUGUAAGACUGAUGUGAAAUCCCCGGGCUCAACCUGGGAACUGCAUUGGUGACUGCAACGCUGGAGUGCGGCAGAGGGGGAUGGAAUUCCGCGUGUAGCAGUGAAAUGCGUAGAUAUGCGGAGGAACACCGAUGGCGAAGGCAAUCCCCUGGGCCUGCACUGACGCUCAUGCACGAAAGCGUGGGGAGCAAACAGGAUUAGAUACCCGCGUAGUCCCUGUCUCUUAUAC
rnacentral:rRNA from 1 species